UUAAGUUCAGCGGGUAACCCUACCUGAUCCGAGGUCAAACUAUUGAAGUUGGGGGGUUUGACGGCUGGCCUCCACCGGGACCCAAUGCGAGUUGUAAAACUACUACGCAGGGGGCGCCGCGGCAGGACCGCCACUACAUUUCGGGGCCUACGGGGGAGCGCUGGGCUCCUCCGUAGCGCCCCAACACCGGGCGCGGCCCU
rnacentral:misc_RNA from 1 species